AAGUAGGUAGCUUAACCUUCGGGAGGGCGCUUACCACUUUGUGAUUCAUGACUGGGGUGAAGUCGUAACAAGGUAACCGUAGGGGAACCUGCGGUUGGAUCACCUCCUUACCUUAAAGAA
rnacentral:rRNA from 4 species